rnacentral:rRNA from 1 species
AAUCAACGCUGGCGGCGUGCCUCAGACAUGCAAGUCGAACGCGAAAGUCCCCUUCGGGGGACAAGUAGAGUGGCGCACGGGUGAGUAACACGUAGGUAAUCUACCUUCGGAUGGGGAAUAACAACCGGAAACGGUUGCUAAUACCGCAUAAUGCAGCGGCACCUAAUGGUGACAGUUGUUAAAGCGGGGGAUCGAAAGACCUCGCGUCUGAAGAGGAGCCUGCGGCGGAUUAGCUAGUGGUAAGGUAAUGGCCUACCAAGGCGACGACGGGUAGCCGGCCUGAGAGGGCGACCGGCCACACUGGGACUGAGACACGGCCCAGACUCCUACGGGAGGCAGCAGUGGGGAAUAUUGCACAAUGGGCGAAAGCCUGAUGCAGCGACGCCGCGUGAGGGAUGACGGCCU